CUACCAGGUACAACACUUUACUGUGCAAAUAAAAUAAAAUCUAUUAAAUAACACUCAACUGACUACCUUUUCACGGAACUAUAAUGUAAUACAUGAGAGUCGUUAUAGCCCCUAUGCCUAUUAUCUUCCUUCAAAAACAAAAGUCACGCCCCAGGUAAACUUAACUUAGCUGCUGAUAUUUUCAACAUCUACAAACUCCCCUGAUGUAGUCCUUUAUAAUAUAGCAUCUUAUUUAUAAUCAACAGUUCGAAGCAUUGGGACGUUCGGCAGACUGAUCCACCGAAGCAGUGACGGCGAAAGACGGGAAAAAACCGUUUUGCACGAAGAUGUUCUUUAUAUAAUCCUGAAACAGACCGCGCACGAGGCAACAUUACACAAGGGCACAGAAUGGUGCAGAAACACGGGAACGUUUCACUAAGAACAACAAGGCUCACAAGCGAUCCGACCAGCUAACUUAGACGCAGAAGCGGACAUAAAAGCAUUUUAUGUGUGGGCGUCACCCACGUGAAAGUUACAGCCAAUCACCGGCUGAGUCAUGAUGUACAAUUUAUUUCCAGUUUGAUGAGGAAAAGCCCCGUUCCGCUGUCUUAUGGGUAGGUUGCGUGGGAGCGUUCUGGUUUCCCGACAAUUUAUGACAGCGACGUGCUGUAUAUAAAACGGGGGCUGUCUGUAAAUUUUGCUUUGAAUUUGAAUUUGAGUGCUUAUAUACGGCGAAAUCACGCUGGUGUGACAGUUAAUCCCGUAGUCAAGAGAAGAGCCGAUGCACAAAAACUGCCGAUUUUGGAUUUGUGGGAAACUACACAUGCUGUACAACAUUUUGAAGGUUCCAGGCUGGGAUGCUUUGUCUGGCUGAGAGGUUGAUUCAGGCCGGGCUGCCGCUGCGGCGCACUGCAAAGUGCAGAUCUUCAUUUUCUUUGAGUACGACGCCAGAGUUUUACCCAGAUAACUGGGGCCCAUGGAUGGUACUGUAAAGGAAUUGUCGUGUCAGAAAGUAAAACGACGCCCACAUCGUUCACGAGUCUCUCGAUUUUUUUAAAGUACGGGUUAGUGGUUGUGUGUCAAGAACGGCAAGGAGCUCUUACAGCAUAUUUGGAAGUUGCAGCAAAUUGGUGUGGCUCCUGUGCAGGACUGGACUGGUAUUAAAAAUCGGCUCUGGUGUUUGAGUCAGACAGGCACACCAUACAAGCAUAACCACAAUCAAUCUUGCCGAUUGACAGGCGUCUCUUCCAGAGAACACAGAAGUGAUUCAAAAGGAGUCUCUGAACAGUGCUGUGAAAAGAUGUCAUUCUUAAACAAUUUGCAUGGUUAAAAAAAAACGUAUUAAAUGCGCAUAUAUUGUAGAAUAUUAAAACAUCCUGAAAUUUUUUCAUUACAUAGGCCCAUGCGUAGGUGCCAUUGCUAGUGUACAAGUAGUACAGUCAGUCCCGCCAUAAUGAGUGAUAUCAUAGUGCAAAUCUGUUAUAAUGCGAUUGAUAUAAUACAUUCAUCCAUCACUGUAACUGCUUAAUCCCAACUGGGAUUGCAGGGGGGGACGAGAGCCUAUCCUGGGAAUUUCAGGCAGGAAGCAACACACCACAGGGCACACGUGCUCACGGGGCGAGCUUAGAGCCACCAGUUAACCUACUAUGUAUACUUUUGGACUGGGGAAGGAAACAGAGUCCCUGGCAGAAACCCACAUGAACACGGGGAGAGCAAACAAACUCCACACAGAAAGGUCCUACGCCCAACCCAGGGACCAAACCCAGGACCUUCUUGCUAUAGGGCAGCAGCGCUAACCACUGCACCACCGCACUGCCAAGUUUCAGUACAGUAAACUAAAGUUCUGUAUGGUACAAUAACUGACACUAAAUAGGUGAGAAUAAUAAAACUUGCCGUGUAAGUAAAAUUUAAAUUAAAUCAUGUUAGAAUAACUGAAAUUCAUGCCAGAGUAACUGAAACCUGUCGUGUUAGGAAAACUUGAUCUCAUUUCAGUAUAACGUAAACUUGUGUGUCAUACCAUGCGAGGAAGGCACGACUCAAAUGUAGCUUUGUUAACGGAAAACCCCUGUAGGGGAACUUACGUAGAGAUGAAGAUGGGUUUUGGGUGCGAUGACACGUAACAAUGUCAGGACCGGGGAAUUACUCACACUCAUAACGUUAGAGUAACUGAAACCUGU